rnacentral:misc_RNA from 1 species
GUUGUUCUCCAGGUAGCACCCAUGUGGACAAUGAACGCAGUAGACGCCAUCGAACCAUGAAAGCUCGAACCCAAAUGCCAGAUCUGCGUGAAUUUCAAUGAAGGACGUUUUCCUCUCCCAGUUUUCAAAAUAUUGAUGCUCUGGUGAAACUCGAAGCAAAGUCAUCAUCUCCACGCUGCACAAGUCCAUCAAAUCAGAAGGAGUUACGCAUCCUCGUAAAACCACAUAUGAAUAGUUGACUCCACUGAUGCAAGGUGCGGUGUCCACAUAAUCAAAAGAAAAAUUCACAGGAUUUGGGCACUUAAGGAACGCAAUAUCCUGCGAUAAAAAGGUCAUAUCUUCUAUCAACCGGUUGUUAGUAUGAUACGAGUAUGGAUCUCCGUCUUUGAAGUGGUAAGUAGUCAAAGGAAAACGAGGAAUGGAGGAACAAUCAUCUUUAUCGACGCCAGCAUCCACCAGUCGAACUGUGAAGUUAUGGUAAUUGAUGGCCUGCACAUAGUAUUUUCCUCCAUAUAGAUAUAACACCGUCGAGUUAUUUUCACAGGACAGGUUAUAUCUAAGGUCUCCGCAGUUGAUUGAAUCAGUUUCGAGUCGCAAAGGGUAACUAAUAUUACGGAUAUGGCCGCAGGAUGAAGGGGCACAACGGUUUGUUUCCGUAGCAUUGCAACUUUGGGAAACUAACAGGAAAAGAAAGAUGACACUUUCUCUAACCAUGGGAGGAAAGAGAUUAACAGGAUUUGUGUGUGUUUAGAACUUCAGAUUUGUCUUAUGUGUUUAGAACUUCAAAAUGAUGUAGUUUCUAUCUUGUAGUGAUUUCUUAUUCUCCUAGAAUUUAAUGGACAAAUUUAUUCUCGUUUUGCG